ACGAACGCUGGCGGCGUGCCUAAUACAUGCAAGUAGAACGCUGAAGAGAGGAGCUUGCUCUUCUUGGAUGAGUUGCGAACGGGUGAGUAACGCGUAGGUAACCUGCCUUGUAGCGGGGGAUAACUAUUGGAAACGAUAGCUAAUACCGCAUAACAAUGGAUGACACAUGUCAUUUAUUUGAAAGGGCCAAUUGCUCCACUACAAGAUGGACCUGCGUUGUAUUAGCUAGUAGGUGAGGUAAUGGCUCACCUAGGCGACGAUACAUAGCCGACCUGAGAGGGUGAUCGGCCACACUGGGACUGAGACACGGCCCAGACUCCUACGGGAGGCAGCAGUAGGGAAUCUUCGGCAAUGGGGGCAACCCUGACCGAGCAACGCCGCGUGAGUGAAGAAGGUUUUCGGAUCGUAAAGCUCUGUUGUAAGUCAAGAACGGGUGUGAGAGUGGAAAGUUCACACUGUGACGGUAGCUUACCAGAAAGGGACGGCUAACUACGUG
rnacentral:rRNA from 1 species